GCACCCAAUGCAAUAUAGGGAUUUUAUUUUCAUUUCUAUCAGCAUCUUUAUCUUUAGGAAAGAUAAGAUGUAAACUCGAUUCUAACAUGAACUCUAAAUAAGGAGGCAAUUCAAAUUUCAAAAUCCUCUGAAUUCGAAUCUCAUUUGAAGAAUCUCCUUUUUCCUUUAAACGUGCUCUCCCAUAUCAGAUCAUUUCACAAUUCACUGCCAUUACCACCACCACUAAGCGUGCCGACACCAAAUCAGCAACACCCACUCUAGCUCCACCCCUGCCACUCCGUCCAGUGAACCUUGGUGCAACUUCGUCCUCCGCAACCCCACCCUUUAUCAAAAAUCGAUACUAUGGAAGACAAAUGAUGUGUGGUCUUUUGAUUUCAUCGUGAAUGCAAAAAAGAUAAAUCUGGAAUUUCCCCCGAACCCCCCUUCUCUCUCUCUCUCUCUCUCUCUCUCUCUCUCUCGAUUUCAUCUGGAUUCAAUAUAAAGGCUCUUAUUAUUGAGCAUAAAUUAGGGAUUUUUGUUUUCUACUUGAGAUUUAUGGAAAAUGGGGCGGUAUUUGAUAAAUUCAUACUGAUUUCUUCUACAAAACACCAAUAUCUCAAAAGGUAAUGUAAAAAUUAAGGUAAUUGAUGCUCUGUUUUUUUGGUUUCAGGAUUUCAUUUCUUUUAUGUGCUCUCUUCCUGUGUGAUUCAUCUGGUUUAUAUAUCUGAAAGUAAGUACAUCACAUUCUUUUAUCUAAUCAGUUAAUGUUUUUAAUUUUUGGGUUUCAUUUAUUAAUGGUUCAAUUAACCUUUUUCCCAAUGAUUAACUCUGAUGAAGAAGCAAAUCUAGGUUUUUUUGAUAGAGCUUGGAUUACCCUGUUUGCCAGAGAUGGAAGAUAAAGACAAAGGGUGUAUAUCGAUUUUUUCCCAGUGCUUAAUACAUAACUUUGUGCUUUUUUUUCCAUUUCUUUUUAAUGAUUCUUUAAUAAGGUGUAGCUUACAUUGAAUUGUCAUUUGAAAUAACCAAGCAAGAGCUACCUAAACCAUUUAAUUCUUAUUAACAUUCAUGAUAUGUGGUGAUGAACACGUGUUUUGGUGUAGGUUGUAAUGGCCAAAUAUGCUAACCUGAUUGAACAAAGUCCAAUGGAAUUGACUAUCUGAAAUGGAGUAACUAAAAUAAAAAAUCCAAGUCUAAUGGCAGCAGUUGCCCAUAAAAUGGCUGAAUCAUUUGUAUCUAUAAUGACCAUUCACCGCAACUGAUAGAUUAAGUAUAUAUAUAUAUAUAUAUNNNNNNNNNNNNNNNNNNNNNNNNNNNNNNNNNNNNNNNNNNNNNNNNACCAGUAUGGUGUGGUAAAUUAAGUUUUGGAGUUGAUUUCUUAGAUGGUUGUGAUUUUUCACUGCUAAGUAAGUGCGAUCUCACUAAACCAUUAUUGUUUUAUAAUUGUUACAAUUAUGGGUGAAUGAUUAACAUAAAUUGUUAUUUAGUAACUUAACUUUUAUUUUUAUGUAAUUUUCACUAAAUAAUGAUAGAUUUAGGCAUUAAAUUGUUAUAAUAAUGGUUCAUUGAUGUGUGUUACAUUGCACUUUAAAAUGAAUGAAAGAAAAUUGAUAUUUCAUACAUUUAACCAUAUUUAAAUCAAUGAAAAUAUGAUAUUGUUUCUUGUGGUUAAUUUUUUUAUAUAUUUACAAGGUGUGUGCGCGUGACAUAUUCAAAUACUAUUUUAACCAGGGCCACCAUUAGAUAAUCGAUUUUGGUAAGUGUUAGUUGUUUAUUUUGUUAUUUAUUUAUUGAUUUUACAAGUACUAAAGGUGGGUUUUUGGUGGUUCGGAAGCAUGCCAACGAGCACUUUCCUUUCUUAGUAAUUUGUUGUAAUUCUACCUAAUUAUAGCAUUGUACUUUUAUAGAUUUUCUUACUAAUACAUUGUGCAAGUAAGUAAGAAAGUACAAUGAUGUAAUAAAUGAAAAAAAAUAACAAUGUUCUUUUAAUUUUUAUCAAAUUAAUUUAAAUUAGUUGCCAUACACAGACAAACAAAUUCACUCGUACACACACAAAGCUACAUAGAUAUGGUUGAGUGGUUUUGGCCUACUUCAAUUAAACUUGAAGUUCUAACUAGAAAAGAUUAUGAUAACAAGAUAACCUUCAAAAUCAAUAUUUAUAUGUUUCCUUUACUCUUUAUCUUUAUACAUUUGUAGUCAUUAUUGUUAAUUUUUUUGAUGUUUUGUUGGUGUUGGUCUAGGAUGUUGACGUGUCUGGACAGUGGAACUUGGAUGGUUGUUUCAUCGUCUGUGUAUAUGUGUGGUUAUUUAAAAACAAUCAUGGAGCCUUUGAAUUUGAGAAUUUCAAGAAAUUAUGUUGGAUUAUAAUGAGGAAAGUGAUGAAUUUUUUAUUUCAUUGUAAUUAAAAAGAAAAUAUUUUUUUGUUGGAUUGAAUAGGAUCGAUCAUUCUUGAAAGAACGUGAUUUUGUAGAGUUACGAUGUUAAUGGUGUGUUUAUAUUGUGAAAAUUGGAAUGGAA
rnacentral:lncRNA from 1 species